CGCGGCGAAUCGGAGCUCGAGGCGCCCGUCAGGGCAGAAGGGAAGCCCGGCGCCGCGCCCUCCAGCCGCGCGCAGCUCAAGUCCGACGCCCCGCGCCGCGCGCUCCCCAGGGACCGUGCCCCGGAACCACGACCACUAACGGAACCAGCCCACCGGCGGCGGCAGCAGCCGCUCGGACUACGGACGGCGACGCGCGGCCGGGGCGCCAGGAGGGCGGGGGUUCCCCGGAGGAGCUGGCCGCCCCAGCGCCCCAUUGGGCGCCGCUCCAAACGUGCCCGAGUGGUGACAGGAAUAAAAGUGGGUCACAAGGCCUAGCGGGUCCCGGGCGAAAGCCCUCUCGGCACCAGGCUCGCUUUCCCGGACGCACGGCCGCUGGAACCGGCUGGAACCCGGUCACCCUCCGGUCACCGGGGCCGGCCGCGCACCCCAAUCCCGCCCCUGCCCCGCAGGUUGCGAAGAUUCCUGGACCACCAGUGACCCUGGAGGCGCGCGUCUUCGAGUGCUUCUUACUGGCUGGUGGUUGGUUUGGGGAGACAGGACCGUGGGCACCUUCAGCCGCAGCAGUGGCAAGAGUGGAUCUGAAUCUGGAAGAAUGGAGGACUGGAGCCAGCUUUUCAUGCACGAUUAAUGAGAAAGUACCCUGGGGCGGGGGCGGGGGUGGUGCAGAUUCAAAGAUGGUCACGGAAACCAUUGUAAACUAGGUUGCUCUGGAAAUUUCAAUUAAAAUAAUAAAUUCUUG
rnacentral:lncRNA from 1 species